AGCCCAAUAGCAUAAUGGUUAUGCGCCGUCCUUUCCUGGACAGCCCAUGCAUAUUAUGGCGGAGAUCGCAGGUUCGACUCCUGCUUGGGCUU